AAAUGAAUUAAUAUAAUCAGUAUUUUAACAUUAAAAAAUUACGAUUUUUAUAAAACUUCAACUUAACAAUAUUUUUUAUUUGCAUAACAAAAGUUUUUACAAAAUGUAAUACAAUAUGUGCCAGCAAUUGCGGUUAAACAUUAACACUAGCUAAAAACUUUACAAUUACACGCUUUUCAAAAAUACAAUAAUUAUUAGUAAAAUAUAAUUAUUCAUUAACUAAUAGUAAUUUAAAACUUUACAUAAACUAGGAUUAGAUACCCUACUAUUUUAAGAAACAUUAAGGUAGUAACACUUUUAAAAAAACCUAUACAUUUUGGCGGCGAAACAUCUUAAAGGAACUUGUUUUUAAAUCGAUAAUACUCGUUAAUUUUCACCUUUUUACAAAGCUUAUAUACCGCCGUUUAAAAAAACUUUAUACAAUAUUAUUUAAAUUUACUUUAAAAAUUCAGGUCAAGGUGUAGCUUAUAUUAAGAGAUAAAAUUAGUUACUAUAAAAAAAAUUUAUAGAAUAUAUAUAACAUAACAAUAAAAAAGGAUUUAAAUUCAAUUCAUUAAUAAUAACAAUGAAUGAAACACUACUAUCGUGUACAUAUCGCCCGUCACCCUCUAUAAUAUAGAGGUAAGUCGUAACACAGUUGAUGUUCUGGAAAGAGCCUCAUGAAU
rnacentral:rRNA from 1 species